AUGCACGCUGGCGGCGUGCCUAAUACAUGCAAGUCGAGCGAACAGACGAGGAGCUUGCUCCUCUGACGUUAGCGGCGGACGGGUGAGUAACACGUGGAUAACCUACCUAUAAGACUGGGAUAACUUCGGGAAACCGGAGCUAAUACCGGAUAAUAUAUUGAACCGCAUGGUUCAAUAGUGAAAGACGGUUUUGCUGUCACUUAUAGAUGGAUCCGCGCCGCAUUAGCUAGUUGGUAAGGUAACGGCUUACCAAGGCAACGAUGCGUAGCCGACCUGAGAGGGUGAUCGGCCACACUGGAACUGAGACACGGUCCAGACUCCUACGGGAGGCAGCAGUAGGGAAUCUUCCGCAAUGGGCGAAAGCCUGACGGAGCAACGCCGCGUGAGUGAUGAAGGUCUUCGGAUCGUAAAACUCUGUUAUUAGGGAAGAACAAAUGUGUAAGUAACUAUGCACGUCUUGACGGUACCUAAUCAGAAAGCCACGGCGAACUACGG
rnacentral:rRNA from 1 species